UAGUGAGUUUGAUCCUGGCUCAGAACGAACGCUGGCGGCAUGCCUAACACAUGCAAGUCGAACGAGACCUUCGGGUCUAGUGGCGCACGGGUGCGUAACGCGUGGGAACCUGCCCUUAGGUUCGGAAUAACUCAGAGAAAUUUGAGCUAAUACCGGAUAAUGUCUUCGGACCAAAGAUUUAUCGCCUUUGGAUGGGCCCGCGUAGGAUUAGCUUGUUGGUGGGGUAAUGGCCUACCAAGGCGACGAUCCUUAGCUGGUCUGAGAGGAUGAUCAGCCACACUGGGACUGAGACACGGCCCAGACUCCUACGGGAGGCAGCAGUGGGGAAUAUUGGACAAUGGGCGAAAGCCUGAUCCAGCAAUGCCGCGUGAGUGAUGAAGGCCCUUAAGGGUU
rnacentral:rRNA from 1 species